UACAGAGGGUGCAAGCGUUGUUCGGAAUUAUUGGGCGUAAAGGGCGCGUAGGCGGUGCGGUAAGUCUGUAGUGAAAUCUCUGGGCUCAACUCAGAGUCUGCUGCAGAAACUGCCGUGCUUGAGUGUGGGAGAGGUGAGUGGAAUUCCCGGUGUAGCGGUGAAAUGCGUAGAUAUCGGAAGGAACACCAGUGGCGAAAGCGACUGCCUGGCCCAAUACUGACACUCAUGUGCGAAAGCGUGGGGAGCAAACAGG
rnacentral:rRNA from 1 species